rnacentral:rRNA from 1 species
UACAGAGGGGGCGAGCGUUGUUCGGAAUUACUGGGCGUAAAGGGCGCGUAGGCGGCACGGCAAGUCGGGAGUGAAAGGCCUGGGCUCAACCGAGGAACUGCUUUCGAGACUGCCGAGCUAGAGUGCGGAAGGGGCAACUGGAAUUCCCAGUGUAGCGGUGAAAUGCGUAGAUAUUGGGAAGAACACCUGAGGCGAAGGCGGGUUGCUGGGCCGACACUGACGCUGAGGCGCGAAAGCCAGGGGAGCAAACGGG